UACGUAGGGCGCAAGCGUUGUCCGGAAUUAUUGGGCGUAAAGAGCUCGUAGGCGGUUUGUCGCGUCUGCUGUGAAAUCCCGAGGCUCAACCUCGGGCCUGCAGUGGGUACGGGCAGACUGGAGUGCGGUAGGGGAGAAUGGAACUCCUGGUGUAGCGGUGGAAUGCGCAGAUAUCAGGAAGAACACCGAUGGCGAAGGCAGUUCUCUGGGCCGUAACUGACGCUGAGGAGCGAAAGCGUGGGGAGCGAACAGG
rnacentral:rRNA from 1 species